rnacentral:rRNA from 1 species
UACGUAGGUGGCGAGCGUUGUCCGGAUUUACUGGGCGUAAAGAGCGCGCAGGCGGUCGUUCAAGUCGCGUGUGAAAGCCCCCCGGCUCAACUGGGGAGGGUCACGCGAUACUGAUCGACUCGAAGGCAGGAGAGGGUAGUGGAAUUCCCGGUGUAGUGGUGAAAUGCGUAGAUAUCGGGAGGAACACCAGUGGCGAAGGCGACUACCUGGCCUGUUCUUGACGCUGAGGCGCGAAAGCUAGGGGAGCAAACGGGG